GGAUAACAACAGGAGGCAGUCUCCACCCUGAUCCUCCCACUGGGUCCUGGGCGUGAAGGUGGGAGUUAGCAGUGUGGGGUAAGGCCCCAGUGGCGGCGAGCUUGACCAGCAUGGGCACUGGCAGACUGUGAAACAGGGGAUUUCCUUCAGCAUUUCUGCAGUCACCACAGCUGAAUCCCUCUGUUUGUUUACUUCUUACUGUCAGUCGUCACCUACUCCUGGAAGUCCACAGGCAUUUGGAGCAGAUGUGCUGCUGUAGGCAAAAAAGUGAGGAACGGUGGGAAGAGAGACUACAUAGACCCGGGUUCAAAUCUCAGCUCUGCUGGUCUCAAGCUGAAUGAUUGGGCAAGUAACUUAACUUUUUUUUCUUUCCUUUCUUUCUCUCUUUCUCUCCUUCUCUCCUUCCCUCCCUCCCUCCCUCCCUCUCUUCCUUCCUUCCUUCCUUCCUUCCUUCCUUCCUUCCUUCCUUCCUUCCUUCCUUCCUUUCUUCCUUUCUCUU
rnacentral:lncRNA from 1 species